GGGGAAUCUUGCGCAAUGCGCGAAAGCGUGACGCAGCAACGCCGCGUGGGGGAAGAAGGCCUUCGGGUUGUAAACCCCUUUCAGGAGGGACGAAGGUGCGGCCGCGAACAGCGGUCCGUACUGACGGUACCUCCACAAGAAGCCCCGGCUAACUACGUGCCAGCAGCCGCGGUAAUACGUAGGGGGCUAGCGUUGUCCGGAAUCAUUGGGCGUAAAGCGCGCGUAGGCGGCCCGGUAAGUCCGUUGUGAAAGUCGAAGGCUCAACCUUCGAAUGCCGAUGGAUACUGCCGGGCUCGAGUCCGGAAGAGGCGAGUGGAAUUCCUGGUGUAGCGGUGGAAUGCGCAGAUAUCAGGAGGAACACCAAUAGCGAAGGCAGCUCGCUGGGACGGUACUGACGCUAAGGCGCGAAAGCGUGGGGAGCGAAC
rnacentral:rRNA from 1 species